GGUAUUAGAGACAGAUGUCGCCGGAGAUUCUCGAGCGUGUAUAAGACCGUGAAUUAGUGCGACUGUGGUUCUGAAUUGCGGUUGAAGAAGUGCAGUGUCGCGGUGUUCUGGCGAUUCGAGUGCUGCGGUCGGUAGUGCUGUGCAGCAGGGGAUUCCAGCACCGUGUCUUUGUGAUUUCUUCCUUCAAGUUACCAUCGUAGUGGCGACGUAGUCUAGGGCUGCGGUUGACGAGUUGGAUUACUAGUGCAUUGCGGGAGCAGCAUUAACGUGCUGGUGGCGUCAUCUUGAAGCUAGAGCUCUAGUUGUUCAGAUGGCUAAUUAAAAAAUUGGGGUCGUAUGUUGAACUCGGCAACGAUUUUUUGGAGCUCCGAUUUUUCUGGUCUCCGCAUUGUUUCGAGGGGCUUGCAUAUUGCGUUGCGUGGCUUUCGGCGUUCCCACGCGUAUCAUGAUUGUUGAGAUACCUCACUUCUCCUUUCAGUCUUCAGUGUGGGAUGGCCUUAAACCAUUGAUUUUGUGCCCCUGUAACCUGUAUUAAUUUAUUCCCCCUCUAGGUGUCCUGUCGGGCUGUAGUGUCAAGCCCCCGUGGUUUAAGGAGCAUGAGCGUUGUGUGGAAGGUGAUUUCGUGUCUGCACGACUGAUCCGUUCCCUGUGCCGAAGAGAGGGUCCAGUCUGGCUUGAAUGGAAGUCGCGAAGUGCUUUUUGGUGGAGAGUAUUUGAGGCGCUCGAGGUUUUGUUGUAUUCUUCAACGCCUGGUUCAUGUGUAUUUGAGAAGCGGCGCUGAGCGAGUCGUGGUGGAUCAUUUGCGGACAAUCUGGACAAUGAGUUGUGAUUUUCUUAAAACCUGAUUGAGAAACGGCGAUCUUGUUAGUCAUCCAAUCUCCAAGGGAGAUUGUUGAACUGCAAUUGAAGAGCCUCUUUCGGAAUCCUCUACGACAAAAGUUAUCGAGAGUGACUUGUGUACUUUGUUACAUAGAUAUUUUAAAGGUUUGAACUUUGCAUCUUGUUGAUAGAUUAUUUUAGUUGUGUAUAAAAGUUUUUAGGUGGAUUUCUUUAAGUAGAAGUAAUUUAAGGUUUUGAUUUUUGACUUAAGAUUAGUAUUUUUAUAAGUUGAAAUGAGAUGAUUAAAAUAUGUACAUAAAUGAAGCUAUGUAUAUAGGAUUAUUUAAGAGUGAUGGUUUGGUUUUAGAAACAUAGAUUCAUUUUGUAGGAAAAAAAAUCGUAUGGUUUGUGGAACAAUUUGUAUAAAAGAUAAGUUUUUUUGAUUA